UACGGGGGGGGGCAAGCGUUGUUCGGAAUUACUGGGCGUAAAGGGCGUGUAGGUGGCCAACUAAGUCCGACGUGAAAUCCCCAGGCUUAACCUGGGAACUGCGUCGGAUACUGGAUGGCUUGAAUUCGGGAGAGGGAUGCAGAAUUCCAGGUGUAGCGGUGGAAUGCGUAGAGAUCCGGAAGAACACCGGUGGCGAAGGCGGCCUGCUGGGCAGUAGCUGACGCUGAGGCGCGACAGCGUGGGGAGCAAACAGG
rnacentral:rRNA from 1 species